AUCUUGAGAAAUGGUUACCACAUCCAACGAAGGUAGUAGGCGCACAAAUUACCAAAUCCUGAUAUGGUAGUCAUGGAAGUCAAAAUUCGCCAAGGAGUAUAUAACAAUUCACCUGCUGAAUCAACUAGCCCAGAAAAUAGAUGGAGCUUAAGUAAGAGACCUACACCCGGUCAUCGGGGUAAGUGCCGAUCCCAGAUU
rnacentral:ncRNA from 1 species